rnacentral:misc_RNA from 1 species
GAAAAAUAAGAAAUUGUAUAAAAAAACUAUUUUUUUCCAUUUCCCAUUUUGCACUAUAUAGACUAAUCUCAAAAGAAGGGUUUAUCAAAAAGGGAAUAAUUAUACAGGAUUGCCUAUUACUUAUACACCAAAAGAAAUAAAAAAGUGAUGCUUGAUGGUCCUACCUCCUUUCCUCUACAUCAAGAAAAAUUAUAAACGGUAGAAAUCAAAGAAAAUAUUCACCUGAUUGGUAAUAACCAAUCAAAUGAAGAGACAAACCCAAAAAUAAGUCGAAUGAACCUCCUGUGAGCCACCAUUGAACCAAAAUCAUGAACAAAAUCUUCCAUCUAUUCAUCAUCUUCUGAAUCAGAUCUU